AUUGAACGCUGGCGGCAGGCUUAACACAUGCAAGUCGAGCGGGGUGAUGGUGCUUGCACUAUCACUUAGCGGCGGACGGGUGAGUAAUGCUUAGGAAUCUGCCUAUUAGUGGGGGACAACAUCUCGAAAGGGAUGCUAAUACCGCAUACGUCCUACGGGAGAAAGCAGGGGAUCACUUGUGACCUUGCGCUAAUAGAUGAGCCUAAGUCGGAUUAGCUAGUUGGUGGGGUAAAGGCCUACCAAGGCGACGAUCUGUAGCGGGUCUGAGAGGAUGAUCCGCCACACUGGGACUGAGACACGGCCCAGACUCCUACGGGAGGCAGCAGUGGGGAAUAUUGGACAAUGGGGGGAACCCUGAUUCGGCCAUGCCGCGUGUGUGAAGAAGGCCUUAUGGUUGUAAAGCACUUUAAGCGAGGAGGAGGCUCUUUUGGUUAAUACCCAAGAUGAGUGGACGUUACUCGCAGAAUAGGCACCGGCUAACUCUGUGCCAGCCGCCGCCGUAA
rnacentral:rRNA from 1 species